AACAUCACAAUUCCAUCUCUCCAGAGAUGCUGCCUGUCCAGCUGAGUUACUCAAGCUUUUUGUGUCUAUCUGGAUUUGAAAGUAUUAGCUAUUCGGAGUGGUUAGGUAAACUCUCUUCUCUGGGGCAUCGGAGGUUCAGAGGAGACUUGAAAGAAGUGAAUAAAAUUGAGGCAUGAAUAGGGUAACUGUCAGAACCUUUUUCCCAGGACAGAAAUGUCGAAGGCUCGGGGGCAUGGUUUUAAGGUGAGAUGGAGGAAGUUGAAAGGAGCUGUGUGGGAAUAGCUUUUUACAGUGAUAGGUGCCAGAACGUGCUGCCAGGGGUGGUAGUGGCGGCAGAUACAAUGGGGUAUUUAUGAGGGUUUUACACAGGCACAUGAAUAUGCAGGAAAUGGAGGGAUACGGAUCACGUGCAGGCAGAGGAGAUUAAUUUAAUGAUAUGUUUACAUAGACAAUUGAACUACAUUUUUUCUCUACAUAAUAGACAAUAGGUGCAGGGGUGGGCCAUUCGAGCCAGCACCGCCAUUCAUUGUGAUCAUGGCUGAUCAUCCAGAAUCAAAACCCCGUUCCUGCCUUCUCCCCAUAUCCCUUGACUCCGCUCUCUUUAAGAGCUCUGUCUAGCUCUUUCAGAAAUGCAUCCAGAGAACCAGCCUCCACUGCUCUCUGAGGCACAGAAUUCCACAGACUCACAACUCUCUGUGUGAAAAGGUUUUUCCUCAUCUCCGUUCUAAAUGGCUUCCUCCUUAUUCUUAAACUGUGGCCCCUGGUUCUGAACUCCCCCAACAUUGGGAACAUGUUUCCUGCCUCUAGCGUGUCCAAAUCCUUAAUAAUCUUAUGUUUCAGUAAGAUCCGCUCUCAUACUUCUAAAUUCCAGAGUAAACAAGCCCAGCCGCUCCAUUUUAUCAACAUAUGACAGUCCCGCCAUUCCGAGAAUUAAUCUGGUGAACCUAUGCUGCACUCCCUUAAUAAAAAGAAUGUCUUUCCUCAAAUUGGGAGACCAAAACUGCACACAAUACUCCAGGUGUGAUCUCACUAGGGCCCUGUACAACUGCAGAAAGACCUCUUUGCUCAUAUACUCAACUCCUCUUGUUAUGAAGGCCAACAUGCCAUUUGCUUUCUUCACUGCCUGCUGUACCUGCAUGCUUACUUUCAUUGACUGAUGAACAAGGAUCCCCAGAUCUCGUUGUACUUCCCCUUUUCCCAACUUGACUCCAUUUAGAUAAUAAUCUGCCUUCCUGUUUUUGCCACCAAAGUGGAUAACCUUACAUUUAUCCACAUUAAACUGCAUCUGCCCACUCACCCAACCUGUCCAAGUCACCCUGCAUCCUCAUAACAUUCUCUUCGCAGUUCACACUGCUACCCAACUGUGUGUCAUCUGCAAAUUUACUAAUGUUACUUUUAAUCCAUUCAUCUAAAUCAUUAAUGUAUAUUGUAAAUAUCUGCAGUCCCAGCACCAAGCUUUGCGGUACCCCACUAGUCACUGCCUGCCAUUCUGAAAGGGACCCGUUAAUCCAUACUCUUUGUUUCCUGUCUGCCAACCAAUUUUCUAUCCAUGUCAGCACCAUACACGCAAUACCAUGUGCUCUGAUUUUGCCCACUAAUCUCCUAUGUGGGACCUUAUCAAAUGCGUUCUGAAAGUCCGGGUACACUACAUCCACUGGCUCUCCCGUCCAUUUUCCUAGUUACAUCCUCAAAAAAUUCCAGAAGAUUAGUCAAGCAUGAUUUCCCCUUCGUAAAUCCAUGCUGACUCGGACCAAUCCUGCUACUGCUAUCUAAAUAUGCUGCUAAUUCAUCUUUUAUAAUUUUAUAAUUGCUGAAAAUGAUAACGCUACAGAAACACAAUUCAAGUACACUUUGAGGCUGGUAAUGGAAAAGAUAUGACAUCAACCCAAUCCAGUAACAGACUGUCAGCAUGUGUUUUGCUGUGUUGAUUAUAUUUCAAUAUAGUAUCAAUAUAAAGAGGGAUUACCUGUUUUGGCCUUGAGGCUAAGAUGCAGACUGAAAGUUUUUUUUCAUUUUGGGUGUUUUAUAAUAUCCUAUGUAAAAGUUUCAGUGGAAAAUAAUUAAGGAACUAGAACUGGUGUAAUAUACUAUAAAUAAAUCAAUGUUGGCUGGCAGGAAGGAGUUUGUUUCUCGAUGGUAAGUGGUGAUCAGUGGAUUGCACCAGGAUCAGGGCCUAGGUUCCAGAAACUCGCUAUACAGGUGUAUUCAUUUGGAUCAAUGAACUAAAUGUACACUCAAUUUAGAGUUUGCAGAUGGGAUAAAGCUGGGGUGGGGUAAAUAGAGUUGUGUAGAGGGUGCUUAGAGACACCAGUAUGAUUUGGACAUAAUGGGCAAGUGUCAAAUACAGGGGAAAUGUAAUUUAAAGGGGAUAAAUGUAAGUUUGUUCACUUUUGUUAUAAGUAGAAAAAAACCCAUCUGAAUGGCAGUAGAUUGAGGGAAAGGAAGAUGGAAGAAGCAGAUAAGUGUUGUGCUUGAUUUGUUGCAAGAUGACUUGAGUGCAAGAGCAAGAAUGUGCUGCAGUUGUAUAGCACCUUGGUGAGAUUCCAACCUGAUGCUUUGAGUGCUGUUUGGGUCAACUUAUCUGAGAAAGGAUGUUCUUGUCAUGAAGAGAAUGCAACUAAGACUGAUCCAUGGGGUGGCAGGAUUGGCAUAGGAGGAGAAAUUGUCGUUUGCCUCGUAUUCACUGGAGUACAGAAGAAUAAGAGGGAAUGUCAUAGAGACCUUAAUAUUUUGACUAGACUAGCGAGGUAGGAUAUGGUAAGGAUGUUCCCACUGGCUGAGGCGACUGGAACCAGGGGUCAGAGUCUCAGGAUAUAGGGUAUGCUGUUUAGAAGGGAGAACGGGAAUGAAAUUUUGGAAUUCUCUACUAUAGAAGGCAGCAGAGGCUGUCAUUAGAAAAAGAGAUUGAUGUAUUUAAUGUCACAGAUCAAGCAUUGUUUGGAGAAGGCAGGGACAGAGUCCUAAAGUGGAUGAAUGGAUUUUGAAAUUAAAUAUUAAUUGUUUCUUUAUCCAUAGAUUCUUCCUGAGUUCCGGUUUGCAACAUUUUUUGUUUCUAAUUUCCAUAUGCAUGUUCUUGAGUUUCAUGUACUGAAGUGGAUUAUUUAAUGAUUGCGAAUGAUGGAGUUACCUCGAAUGCCUACUUUUCCCAUUUUUGGCUAUUUAAUUGUAUAACAACUAAGUGGAGGAUAGCAAAAGCAUCGAGCCUACCCAGCACUGUAACCCUGAAGUACGUGUUAAUUAUUUUCGGAGCUUUCCAAUUGAGUAAAAAUUAGCACGUGAUGCAUAAGUGAGGAAAUAUCAGGGCUCUUUGGUUCUUCAACCCUGGGAUAAUCCCUAAUCAGUAUUGCUGAGUGAAUGCUUCUGGGUUGGCACAGCAGGAGUGAUGUUAAAAAUAUUGGUGUGUGUGGAAACAUGGUGAAGUGGGUGCAAUGAUCCACAAAUUUAUUUCUUGUCAAUCCAAAAAUUCAUUCACCUUGUGUACUUAACUCUAGAUUUUUACAUUUUUAAAAUGUACUAGACCAAGUGCAGACCCGUUGGGUUUGCUCCCCCAACGCAGCCGUUCCCUACCCGUAGCCCCCACAGGAGACGUGGUCCUCCAACUGAAGAUUCGAGCAUUCAGCAGUGCGGCUGUUUUUAAAUGGCGUCUUUGAGUCGAGAGGCGGGCGUUAUGGUCGCUGGCCAGCAGGAGGUGACGAGUGGGGUGGGAGAAGGAUUUUAUUAAAAAUGUGUACAUAAACACGACAAAAUUUAAUGAGGAGUGGAUACUUGGAAUGAAAGUGAAAUCUCUACCGAAAUGGAAAAAAUCUGGGCGUUUGUGGGUCUGGUAACGAAUCAAAGGCUGGCACCCACAGGCUGGCAACCACAAGACAGGCAGAAACACGCACACACACACAGUGUUAAUAUUAUAUAGUAUAUAAUAUAAUAUAUAACAUAGAAGAUAUAGAUAUAGAAGAUAGAUAUAGAUAGACAGAUAUAGAUAGAAGAUACAUAGAUUUACAUGAGAAGUGGACAUUUCUCAACAUCAGUGUUUAUUGCUCUUCCUUCUAGCUCCCUGAAUCCAGGGAGCCAUUCAGAAUCAAACAUGUUCGCAAUCCAAUUAUGUCAACAGCAAACAGCAACAUACUCAUACUUGGCUAAUAAAGUACAACUAUGUUUUGCAACAUACGAGAAAUUUCAUUUGCCAUACAACCAUACUAAUAAAAAGCAACUGAACACACACACAAUACAUUUUAACAUAAACAUCCACCACAGUGACUACUUCACAUUCCUCACUGUGAUGGUAGGCGAAAAAAAUGUUCAAUCACUUCCCUUUGUCCUCCAGCAGUUGGGGGCCUCUAACCUUUCGUUGACAGGACGAUCUUAUUCCCUUAACCGGUGGCGGGCCUCCUAGUUGGGUCGACCAAGCUCCUGCAUCGGGGGGGAAUCUCAGCGUCCCUGUGCCGGGUGAUCUACCUCGGGUCAGGGCUUGUCCAACGUCGUGCAGUUUUGUGGCUUCCCGACUCGGUUUCUCCUGAGACUGUGGGCCCCUAAUGUUAAAGACUGCAGGCCACGGUUGGAGCAUCAAUCCCAGGCAAGGAAUCUGCUCCGAUGGUAAGUCCACGCCCUGCGGUGGGGCUCAAAGUCAGUCCCGAGCAAGGCCUCCAGCUCCAUGAUGUUAGGCCGCUGAGUGACUGGAGAUACGACCCAGAAAACAAUUGCAUCUUUGACAAGGUAAGAGAUUGAAAAAACUUUUCCCCUAACUCCCUGCCCACCUCUCACAUAAAACAAACCGGAGAACAUUAACACAAACUUUUUAAACACACUAAAAAUUAAAAAAAAAUACAAAAAAGACAGACAGGCUAUAGGCCAUCGAAGCACCACCCGGUGACAUACAACUCUAUAGCCUGUGAUCUAAAUUAACUUAUAUUGAAAGGUUGAGACAGCAAUGCAAAUGCCUGUAGAAAUAAACUAUCUGUAACAAUCUGUCUAUUGGAGUAUUUGAUCAGUAUCCCUGUCAUUUACAGGCUACCCAAGUGGUAUGAUGUGUUCUUUAUCCAAUUUGCGUGCAGCCCCACUCAGGCAGUGGAAGAGGCCGAGGACAGAAAAGCUGGAAUGGGAACGAGAAGGGGAAUGAAAGGUUAAUGAAAGGGAGCUCCAGCAGGCCCUGGCGGAAUACCCUGGUGGAAGCAGAUAACAAUAAUGAUGUCGACAGUGUGUCCAGAAUACUCGCCGACAUGAUCUCCUACACUGAACCGCGGAGUAUUUGUCAAGUAACUGCCAUCUUAUGUACAUUGUGUGAAAUUGUGAUUUGUUAGCUGCGCAAAACAAUGCAAAUGGCGAUUUAUUUAUUAUUGUAUCUACGUUGGACGUUUCCUCUUUGGUGUAAGCAGGGGUGGGGCUAUCAUUGUGUUACAUAUGUUGAAUUGUACAUCACUUUCACUGGUUAGCUGAUAUGUUGAUCACUGCAACCCUGUAUAUCUCGUGCACAGAAUAAUGUGAAUUAUGUAAAUCUUACAAUGCAUGUCAGAAAUAAAGUGUUAACCAUGUUAA